ensembl:lncRNA
ACACAUAGUCCUGUACAGUUUCCUCUAGGCAGCUAUAUCCAGUCCAUAUGGAUAAGAUAGAAUGUCUGUUAUGUUGUCUAUAAGUUGCACAAAUGUAUACAGGAUAUGUGACAGAGGGUGGGUGUGUUUUGCUGGCUUGCAACAUUUUCUUGCUCUCUGUGUUCUAGCAGCCCUUUAGGGAGGAAAGAGGAUGAAGAUUGACCUUUUCAAGGAGCAUCUGAGGAUGCUGAGCCACGGGAAGCCUCUGGGAUUCCAGGUGAGGCAUGGAACAGGGACAGGCAAGGAGACAUCCAGUACCCAUAAACUGGGAAAGUGAUGAGAAGGCUGGGGAAUAAACAGCCCAGCCAAGCCUUGGAGGAGAUGGAAAGCAAAGAGAUUUAUUCAUAGGUCAUUAAUUUAGUUUGUUACAAAUUAAAAUCUGACACUGAAGAUUCAAAGCCCUCCAUCUGUCCUGAGUGUGCCAAUGACCAGGUGUGGAUGCACUUCAGAGCUCCAUGAAAGAGGACUCAGUUCUGCUCUGUGUACUACAGGGCAGAAUGAAGCCAUGGUGGAAUGAACAAAAUGCAGCCAUUGCUCUUCCCUCAGUUAUGCAAGAAAGGAAGUCUGAGGACUGACUCUUUCAGUCUGUAAUGAAGCUUUAGGCAUGUAUAUUAUCUGUGCUCUCAAAAAACUCAGGGAUAAAAUUGCUCUUGCAAUUUUCUCCCUUCUUCUGCAUGCAUGCCAGGACAAGCCAAGCUUGUAAGCCCACAUAUAAACUGCAGAGUUAUGUGAUACAUUGAAGCUGCAAAUUAAUAAUGAGUUCUACAUUUUCUCAUAAUGGUUAAUAUAACAAGCUCUUUCCUAGCCCAUUUGCUUUGUCUGUUAUUCUUUUACCACUUAGAAUUUUGUUACACCUACCCAAACUAUCCUCAAAUUCUCUCUGUUUUUUACAUGUAAGCAUCUGGUGCAGGUUAUCAAUACAACAUAUCAGCUAUCUGUUCACUCCAUAGAGCAGCCUUCCAGUGGCAAAGAUGCAGUGGCCCUCAUUGGGAAAGAGUUAAAAAAUCACUUGGCUCUGGCAUCACCGUAG